GUGUUAGCAACCAAACUAAUGAUCUGUGCCCAGGGCAGAAAAAAUGGAAGGAAGAGGAGGAAAAUGUGGAAAAGUCAGAGAUUCACUGAGGAAAUGUGACGGUGUCAUCGAUGACUUCACUGGCAGAAAAACCAGGAGAAUAAACUUGUUGUUGUGGGAAGGCGCCUCAUAAAUCCCAUGAAAUCUCAUCCCAUGAGACUUUGUUGCAAGAAGACAGAAGCUCCAAACCUCCUUAUAACACUCUGUGUUCCUUUGUUGUUUCACGUCUAUUAUGGCAGUGAUAUUUUUUAAGUAUAACG
rnacentral:lncRNA from 1 species